rnacentral:rRNA from 1 species
GAUGAACGCUGGCGGCGUGCCUAAUACAUGCAAGUCGAGCGAACUGAUUAGAAGCUUGCUUCUAUGACGUUAGCGGCGGACGGGUGAGUAACACGUGAGCAACCUGCCUGUAAGACUGGGAUAACUUAGGGAAACCGAAGCUAAUAACGGAUAGGAUCUUCUCAUUCAUGGGAGCUGAUUGAAAGAUGGUUGAGGCUAUCACUUACAGAUGGGCCCGGGGUGCAUUAGCUAGUUGGUGAGGUAACGGCUCACCAAGGCAACGAUGCAUAGCCGACCUGAGAGGGUGAUCGGCCACACUGGAACUGAGGCACGGCCCAGACUCCUACGGGAGGCAGCAGUAGGGAAUCUUCCGCAAUGGACGAAAGUCUGACGGAGCAACGCCGCGUGAGUGAUGAAGGCUUUCGGGUCGUAAAACUCUGUUGUUAGGGAAGAACAAGUACGAGAGUAACUGCUCGUACCUUGACGGUACCUAACCAGAAAGCCACGGCUAACUACGUGCCAGCCGCCGCAGUAA